GAUAGAUAUUAAUUUAAAAUAUUUAAUCUAAGAAUAUAAGGGUAGAGCUUUAUCAUUCAAUAAUAAAUGAAAUAUAAGUUAAUAAGUAUUUAUUUUGAUAAUUAGGUUUUUUAGUGGCCAUAUUUUUAAAGUGUUUUAACUAAUAUAAUUGAAUAAUUUAUUUAUUAGACUUUAUUAAAUUAAUAAUAUGUUUUUUAAAAUGGAUAAAUAUUAGAAAUAAUGAAAAUAUUAGUAGAAUUAAUAUAUGAGAAAAAAGAAAAGUAUUAAAAGUAAAAUAUGAAAAUAGUUAAGAAAAAAAUAGAGGAACUCGGCAAAUAAGGUUCUUGCCUGUUUAACAAAAACAUGUCUCUAUGAAGUUAUAUGAAGUCUGACCUGCCCAUUGAAAUUUAUUAAAAGGCCGCGGUAUAUUAACUGUGCAAAGGUAGCAUAAUUAGUAGUUUUUUAAUUGAAGGCUUGUAUGAAAGGUUGGACAAGGGAUAAGCUGUCUUUAUUUUUAUUUUUGAAUUUGUCUUUUAAGUGAAAAGACUUAAAUAAGUUUAAGGGACGAUAAGACCCUAUAAAUCUUUAUAUUAGUUUAAUUUUAUUUUAAAUUUUAAUGUUUAAAAGAGUAAAGUUAAUAUAGUAUUGUAUUGGGGUGAUAGGAAUAAUUAGUAAACUGUUCGAAGGUAUAAACAAAAAUAUUUGAUUAUAAUUAUUAGUAGAUCCUUAGUGGAGAUUACAAGUUUAAGUUACUUUAGGGAUAACAGCGUUAUUUUUUUUGAGAGUUCUAAUCGAAAAAGAAGUUUGCGACCUCGAUGUUGAAUUAAAAUUUCUUUGUGGUGUAGUAGUUACAAGAGAGAGUCUGUUCGACUUUUAAAAUUUU
rnacentral:rRNA from 1 species